UACAGAGGUCUCAAGCGUUGUUCGGAUUCAUUGGGCGUAAAGGGUGCGUAGGCGGCGCCGUAAGUGGGGUGUGAAAUCUCGGGGCUUAACUCCGAAACUGCAUUCCAUACUGCGGUGCUUGAGGACUGGAGAGGAGAGUGGAAUUUACGGUGUAGCAGUGAAAUGCGUAGAGAUCGGAAGGAACACCAGUGGCGAAGGCAGGUCCCUGGGCUGAGACUGACGCUGAGGCACGAAAGCCAGGGGAGCAAACAGG
rnacentral:rRNA from 1 species